CGUAGGGUGCAAGCGUUAAUCGGAAUUACUGGGCGUAAAGCGUGCGCAGGCGGUUAUGUAAGACAGAGGUGAAAUCCCCGGGCUCAACCUGGGAACUGCCUUUGUGACUGCAUAGCUAGAGUACGGCAGAGGGGGAUGGAAUUCCGCGUGUAGCAGUGAAAUGCGUAGAUAUGCGGAGGAACACCGAUGGCGAAGGCAAUCCCCUGGGCCUGUACUGACGCUCAUGCACGAAAGCGUGGGGAGCAAACAGGAUUAGAUACCCUGGUAGUCCACGCCCUAGACGAUGUCAACUGGUUGUUGGGUCUUCACUGACUCAGUAACGAAGCUAACGCGUGAAGUUGACCGCCUGGGGAGUACGGCCGCAAGGUUG
rnacentral:rRNA from 1 species